UUCUAAUUACCAGCGACUCGCGUUCAUCUGCAACGCCGCUCUCGGCUUAGCUAUUUCUUCGUGACUUACCCUGACGUUGACUGUGGUAAGCUAACUGACCUGUCUGCUGCCGAUGUGAGUACGGAAAAACUUGUUAGAGUUGCUGUCCGGCACGGACUCUACAAGUGCCUUAGCCGUGAUUCAGCAAUCCUCGAUGAAAAGUGUGUAAUUGCACAUUUCAUUGGCACUAGAUUGUCAAACUGAUUACAAUAGUUCCUAUGUGGAAUUGUAAUAGAGGAGACUUUGAAUUUGAUGUAAGUGAAGGAGCUCGUGAUAACAGUGCAACAGGAGGAGGAGAUGGAGUUCUACGGAGGAACAAUAAAAGCACCAAAGCUCCUUGCAGACAUUGUGGAGUCCAUAAUGGGGGCUGUAUAUUUGGAUUGUGGCUUUGAUGUGAAUGAUGUCUGGUGCUUUUAAAGGUGCAGUGUGACGCAUUGGUAAUGAGUUAUUACUGAAGAAAUGUGUGUAUGAACAGGCAAAAGAAAUGCUAGAAUUACCGUAUGGAGUGGUACUUUAGCUUCAUGUGCAUAUGAGAGAUUAGAUAAAUUCUAGAAUCACAAUGAAACACUACUCAAAAUACAUGUAGGAGUGCAACGAUAGUACCAAAUGAGUGCCACAACAAGGGGGCCAAAUCCGGGAAAAGUUCCUUCCUUUGGAAAAGGAAAACAAAGGCAAUAAGUACAUGUAGGUAAAUCUUAAUUCUAUUUAGUAGAAUAACAAAAUAAUACUCAAUCCAAAAUGUCAAAGUAAACCUCUAAAGUGAGAAGAAUAAAAACCUUGAAAAGCUCUAGAAGAGUGUUUUCACGAAGAUUAGGGUUGUAGAGAACAAACACAAGCUGUUCAGUGGAUUGCAUUUUGUGAUCCUUAUUGGGCGGUGCUCCGGCGCCGAAAGACGAUGAUGACAUGCCACCUCCUCCUCCGAAGCUGCCGACAUCGACGGAGAAAGAUUGAGGUAAGUUUGCCAUUCUAAAGCCUCAAUUGAAUGUUUUUAUCUUUUUCAACCUUUCACUUAUCCUACUUUAUUUUCUCUCAUUUUUCUUU